AAGCGGAGGAAAAGAAACCAACAGGGAUUGCCUCAGUAACGGCGAGUGAAGCGGCAAAAGCUCAAAUUUGAAAUCUAGCACCUUCGGUGUUCGAGUUGUAAUUUGAAGAUGGUAACCUUGGGUUUGGCUCUUGUCUAUGUUCCUUGGAACAGGACGUCAUAGAGGGUGAGAAUCCCGUCUGAUGAGAUGCCCAUUCCUAUGUAAGGUGCUAUCGAAGAGUCGAGUUGUUUGGGAAUGCAGCUCUAAGUGGGUGGUAAAUUCCAUCUAAAGCUAAAUAUUGGCGAGAGACCGAUAGCGAACAAGUACAGUGAUGGAAAGAUGAAAAGAACUUUGAAAAGAGAGUGAAAAAGUACGUGAAAUUGUUGAAAGGGAAGGGCAUUAGAUCAGACUUGGUGUUUUACGAUUAUCUUCUCUUCUUGAGUUGUGCACUCGUAUUUCACUGGGCCAGCAUCGAUUCGGAUGGCAAGAUAAUGGCAGUUGAAUGUGGCUUCACUUCGGUGGAGUGUUAUAGCUUCUGCUGAUAUUGCCUGUCUGGAUCGAGGGCUGCGUCUUUUGACUAGGAUGCUGGCGUAAUGAUCUAAUGCCGCCCGUCUUGAAACACGGACCAAGGAGUCUAACGUCUAUGCGAGUGUUUGGGUGUAAAACCCGUACGCGUAAUGAAAGUGAACGUAGGUGAGAGCUCUUUUUUGAGUGCAUCAUCGACCGAUCCUGAUGUUUUCGGAUGGAUUUGAGUAAGAGCAUAGCUGUUGGGACCCGAAAGAUGGUGAACUAUGCCUGAAUAGGGUGAAGCCAGAGGAAACUCUGGUGGAGGCUCGUAGCGGUUCUGACGUGCAAAUCGAUCGUCGAAUUUGGGUAUAGGGCGAAA
rnacentral:rRNA from 1 species